GUGGCUUCACUGAAAACUUUAGUUCUUCAAAGUACUUCUGCAGGUACUGCCUGAUAACGAAAUCUGAAUUUCAGGGUGCUGACCCAAAUCUGUGUGGACCAGAACGUACCAAAGAGAACUACAACUCUGCUGUUGAUCGCCUCCAGAUUGACAAUACACCAGACGUCGAAGGAGUGAAGUUCAGACACUGAAUUUGAGCAGAAACCAUAAGGAUACUCAAAGGACCUGUGACUCUCAGGAAAUGCAUCAAAUGAGAGGGACAGAUGAAACAGUUUCAAGACAAUGGCAGGAAAAACAUGCUGAAGAUUGAAACAAACCUUGGCUGGAAAUAUUUGAAGGUAUCUAGCCAGUCCACAAUGAAAGCUUCGUUGCACCCCAUGAGUCUUCUGGCAGAAAUGAUGGCGCCUGUAUUCUUUGGUUUCCCUAAACAUCACACCCUGCCUGUUUAUACGAGGCUGUUCAAUUAAGUCUGCACCCAAAGAUUCAAUAAGAGGUAAGCAGUGGUAUUAUUCAAGUUUUGCUAAAGAAAGAUGGACAGGAGACACUAAUCUUAAUCAGCCGAGCUCAGGUUCAUGUCCAGGUGAGCAGUUUCAUACGCUAUAAAAUGUAGAUUGAAUGAUAGGUCUCAUCACCAUGCAUUCAGC